UACGUAGGGUGCAAGCGUUAAUCGGAAUUACUGGGCGUAAAGCGUGCGCAGGCGGUUAUGUAAGACAGAUGUGAAAUGCCCGGGCUUAACCUGGGAACUGCAUUUGUGACUGCAUGGCUAGAGUUUGGCAGAGGGGGGUAGAAUUCCACGUGUAGCAGUGAAAUGCGUAGAUAUGUGGAGGAACACCGAUGGCGAAGGCAGCCCCCUGGGUCAACACUGACGCUGAGGCGCGAAAGCCAGGGGAGCGAACGGG
rnacentral:rRNA from 1 species